GGAGGAGGCAGGAGCCCUGGGGGUGAGAAGGGGAGCAGGCGGGGACGGAGAGGGGUCGAGCGGGCGAGGAAGAGCGUGACGAGCCCCCCGGUGCUCACACCCCCACGGCGGAGCUGCUUCUUCCCAGCCUUGUUCCAGCAAAAAUUGCUGCUGUGAUUCUUGCUGCACAUUAACUGGGAGGAAAGUAAAAAAGUGAACCUUGAGAAAAGGACACAGGAGACAAGAAACAAGGACAUGGCUGAACCGAGUAAAACCUUAAUAACAACGGCUGCUGUGCUUCUGUCUGAAAACGUCAUAGAAUGGGCAUUCAGCAGAUAUCGAAGGAGAAAGAAUGAGAAGACAAAAAAAGACAUGGAGUGUAAGAUGGAUAUAGACUUCCAGGAGCUCAAGAAAAAAAUGGAAGCCUUGCAUGAAUCGUUCACAGAAUUGCAGGACACCAAACAGUCUGAGCUUGAAGGCCUCAGAACACACCUAGAGAACAACAAAGGAAACAAAGUGGAGGAAAUUGUAUGGUCCGUGAAAUCCAGGUUGAAGAAAUACCUCCGGCAGUUCUCACAUGGAAUUCGAACUCUGGAAGAAAAUAUAGAGGAUUGGUCAGAGACCACAGAGUAUGAGCUUCAGCGUCUUCGAGCAGAGCUGCAGAAGAACAAAGGAAACAAAGUGGAGGAAAUUGUAUGGUCCGUGAAAUCCAGGUUGAAGAAAUACCUCCGGCAGUUCUCACAUGGAAUUCGAACUCUGGAAGAAAAUAUAGAGGAUUGGUCAGAGACCACAGAGUAUGAGCUUCAGCGUCUUCGAGCAGAGCUGCAGAAGAACAAAGAAGAGGUCGAAAUUGUAUGGUCCCUGAAAUCCAGGUUGAAGAAAUACCUCCGGCAGCUCUCACAUGGAAUUCAGAGUCUGAAAGAAAAUGUAGAAGAUUUGUCAGAGACCAUAGAGUAUGAGCUUCAGUGUCUCAGACCAGAGUUGGAGAAGAACAAAGGAAAGAAGGAGGAUGAAAGUUCAAAUUUCUGCAUGGAGACAAAAGUUCCGCAGCUCUCCUAUAGAAUUCAAACUCUGGAUCCAGAGUUACAGGAGAGGUGGGAGUUCCCAAAUCAUGAGCUUCAGUUUGUCACAGCAGGCCUGGAGAACAGCCAAGAUUAAGGACCUAGGGGAAGCACCAGGGCCUCCACAGGGGACCCACCCCACCAAGACCAGCCCUGCACAUCUCCUUUUCUCCCAACGUCAGUGGAGACGGAGCGGUGGAGCACAGUGACGACCCUCAAGAGGAGACUUUCUUUAAGUUUGUUAUCCCUCCGUAAGCGGCACGAAGCUCUUGUCAUCGAGUAUUGUGCUGGGAGUGCUUUGCCUGUUUAAUAAACAGGUUUUUUCCACUUCUCUCUGAGGAAGUCUUUUCCUGAACCGGUUGGGGGAGGGGAGGGGGAGCCCCCUGGGGGCGUUUCUCCCAAAAUCUGCCUGAAACCACCACAGCAGAUCUCACUCAGCCAGGCAGGGUCCCAGCAGGCUGCUGUGGCCUCGCAGGUGUCUGGUUCAGUGUCUGCUGACUCCUGGGCUGUGCAGACGGAGAGGGACCACCAGAGGGGACAUGCACCGGGAUUGUGUAGGGACCUCCGGCAGUGAGACUCCCAGAGGUGUCUUUGGGGUAUAGGUCACCGUUUGUAAGUGAAGAGGUUCUCAAUUUCAAUAGCAGUGUUCAGUAUUGUUGGGGAGGAUGAAGCCAGAAAGCCCUGUAAAUAUGAUUGCUUAGACUCUGAGAAUGUGAAACCUGUAAAUGAGAUAGAAUUGAAAGUAAAUUUUGAUGUUUGAGAUGUCCUAGCUACUGGAUGUCUGGGAAAACAGCUAUGUGACCAGCUGAAGGUCACCUGCAGCCAGACCCAGGUCAAAUGGAAUGUUCUGUCUCACCCCAAUGUGUGGUUCAUCCCACACCUGUUACCCUCCCCUGAAGUAUCAGGUAUCUGUGACCCCAUUGGCACAAGCCCUGUCCCAGCCCACCUUGAAGCCUCCUGAUAAAGGGUCCCGAGGGGGCUGGACGCCCUCUUUGCCUGGCACCCUUCUCCAAGGACUUUCCUCUCUUGGAAUUUCCUCUCCCUUCCCCCACCUCCCUAGGCCUUGCCACGAGCUGCAGUCUGGCAGCUCAGAGCAAGGCCUCCUCAUCCUUUACAACAAACCUCAUCUUCUAAAACCCAGCUUCAGAGAUCUCUCUUCUACAUCCAUCCACACCGUCCUGGAGUCCACAGCAGAGAAGCAAUCUCUACAAGUAUGACAUAGGAUCGGUUUUCCCAUAGAGGUAAUUGCAGGAAUAGAGGAAUUGCAGUUUCUGAAGGCUACUUUUGUUCACCAGGUAGCAGUUUAUUACUGUGCCUCCCGUUUUUCUAUCUGUUAGCAAUGUCCUCUCCCCAUUAAAAAGGGAAAGAACUGCUUUCAAAACGGUAUUGCAAAAAGCUUUAACUUCUCAAAUUGUAAUUUCUGUACAGUUCACCUUAAAGCCACGUAGUUCCAAGGCAGUGCGUAAAAAGGAUCAAAUUUUCCCCGUUUUCCAGGCAAUCACCUCAGUCAGUAGGAGAGGUGGUGUAGGUUUUGGACCACGAAUAUUGUACAUGUCAAAUGAUACUUUGUCUUCUCAAUAGAUACAUUCCAGGUGCUUCUGACUUGGACGGAGUCUUUCCAGACGUGAAUCAAAUAUCACAAACACUGUUUUGCUCUCCCUCCUUUCUACGGAACACUUGGUCUUUGUUGGUGUGAAUGAAUAGAACUAGCAAUGUAUCCUAAAGAAUUUUGAUGUUCCAUUGAUGCAAACUAUGAUUUCAGUAGAUUUUGCCUUCCUAUGGAAGAAGGGAUUCAAUUUAGAAUUAAAAUGUCCAUAAAUAAGGUGUUUCAAAAAGUGAUGUAUUUUAUGGCUAAAUAGAUUGCAAUAAUGUUUUUGUACCUCUAGAAAAAUACUUCCAUAAUCUGGAAAAUUCCUAUAUCCUAGGAAAAUGAUAGAGGAAUAUGAUGAAGGAUAUGGAAAAUCUGGACUAAAAUCAGAAUUUUAAAAAAUGAAUAACUUGGUGACAGCAGUUGUAGGAUUUAUAGAGGACACAUUCCAGGUCACUCCUAAUCCAGAUGAAGUGAGCGAGGUUUUCGUUGAGCCUUUGGAGUACUUUGUCAGGCCCUUAAAUUACAAGACCUUCCCUUACCAAGCCUCCUCAGGUUAUUUAACUCGGAUACACUGCUUUACAUACGAUGAUCAGGAACGUAAAAGGUCAUUCAAGAUAUGGGGACUGACUGCACACUUUGCUGUAUUUCUUGCUCUUGUAAUUUUUGGAGAGAGACCUACCUUUGAAGUGGAUUAUGAUCUUGACAACUUAAUUUCAUCCUCCGAGAAUAACGUCAUUAAUUUGUAUGCAUCUAUAUGUGAAAGGAAGAAGAGUAACCUGUGAUAACUUGGUCUGGCGAUUCAUUUCUUUUGAAAGAGGAAAAAGGAGGUUUAUUUCCUUUGUACCCAUUUUUUGAAAGCUACACUUGAAUUUCUUCUGAAUUGGGAACUUCAAGUUGACAGUCCCUAGCUAGAUUCAUACAAUUUUUAUUCUCUUUUAAGAGCUGUGAGAAGCACACCUUGUGGCUCUGCUCAACUCCCUGACAGGAGGGGACGGCCAGGGAGGGCAGGCUCUGCUCCCAGAGAACAGCCACAGGAUGGGAGGACAUGCUAGAGCUGCAGCAGGGGAGGUUCAGGUUGGACAUCAGGAGGAAUUUCUUCACCAAAGGGUAAUUAGACCUUAGAUUAGAGUGGACUGACCAGGGAGGUGGUGGA